rnacentral:rRNA from 1 species
AUUGAACGCUGGCGGCAUGCCUUACACAUGCAAGUCGAACGGCAGCACGGGUGCUUGCCCCUGGUGGCGAGUGGCGAACGGGUGAGUAAUACAUCGGAACAUGUCCUGUAGUGGGGGAUAGCCCGGCGAAAGCCGGAUUAAUACCGCAUACGAUCCACGGAUGAAAGCGGGGGACCUUCGGGCCUCGCGCUAUAGGGUUGGCCGAUGGCUGAUUAGCUAGUUGGUGGGGUAAAGGCCUACCAAGGCGACGAUCAGUAGCUGGUCUGAGAGGACGACCAGCCACCCUGGGACUGAGACACGGCCCAGACUCCUACGGGAGGGCGCGGUGGGGAAUUUUGGACAAUGGGCGAAAGCCUUAUCCAGCAAUGCCGCGUGUGUGAAGAAGGCCUUCGGGUUGUAAAGCACUUUUGUCCGUAAAGAAAUCCUUGACUCUAAUACAGUCGGGGGAUGACGGUACCGGAAAAAUAAGCACCGGCUAACUACGUG